rnacentral:rRNA from 1 species
GAUGAACGCUAGCUACAGGCUUAACACAUGCAAGUCGAGGGGAAACGAUAUUGGAAGCUUGCUUCCGAUAGGCAUCGACCGGCGCACGGGUGAGUAACGCGUAUCCAACCUGCCCACCACUUGGGGAUAACCUUGCGAAAGUAAGACUAAUACCCAAUGAUAUCUCUAGAAGACAUCUGAAGGAGAUUAAAGAUUUAUCGGUGAUGGAUGGGGAUGCGUCUGAUUAGCUUGUUGGCGGGGUAACGGCCCACCAAGGCGACGAUCAGUAGGGGUUCUGAGAGGAAGGUCCCCCACAUUGGAACUGAGACACGGUCCAAACUCCUACGGGAGGCAGCAGUGAGGAAUAUUGGUCAAUGGGCGAGAGCCUGAACCAGCCAAGUAGCGUGCAGGAUGACGGCCCUAUGGGUUGUAAACUGCUUUUAUAAGGGAAUAAAGUGAGUCUCGUGAGACUUUUUGCGUGUACCUUAUGAAUAAGGACCGGCUAAUUCCGUACCAGCCGCCGCGGUAA